UACGUAGGGUGCAAGCGUUUGUCCGGAAUUAUUGGGCGUAAAGAGCUUGUAGGCGGUUUGUCGCGUCUGCCGUGAAAAUCCGGGGCUCAACCCCGGACUUGCGGUGGGUACGGGCAGACUAGAGUGUGGUAGGGGGAGACUGGAAUUCCUGGUGUAGCGGUGAAAUGCGCAGAUAUCCGGAGGAACACCGGUGGCGAAGGCGGGUCUCUGGGCAGUAACUGACGCUGAGGAGCGAAAGCGUGGGGAGCGAACAGG
rnacentral:rRNA from 1 species